rnacentral:lncRNA from 1 species
GGAGGAGGAGACUCGGGAGGAGCAGAGCGCAGGCUCCGCCGCGGCCGGGGUGCUCCAGCCGAGCCCAACCGAGCGGGCGGACCGACGGGGAGAGAGAAGGCGCCAGAGCGCGCGCGCGCGGCCCCGAGCAGCAGCCUUGCCGCCAGUGGAGCAGCUGCCGACGCGCGGGGCCGCGGACCCAGCAUUCGCCGGCCGGGCCGGGCAUGAGCGCG